UACGGAGGAUGCGAGCGUUAUCCGGAUUUAUUGGGUUUAAAGGGUGCGCAGGCUGGUAAUUAAGUCAGUGGUGAAAUACUCCGGCUCAACCGGGGGGCUGCCGUUGAUACUGGUUACCUUGAGUUUAGAUGAUGUGGGCGGAAUGUGUCAUGUAGCGGUGAAAUGCAUAGAGAUGACACAGAACACCGAUAGCGAAGGCAGCUCACAAAGCUAUUACUGACGCUGAUGCACGAAAGCGUGGGGAUCAAACA
rnacentral:rRNA from 1 species